GAGCUUGUUGUUUGAGACUUCCGGUACCCGUAAUUUAACCAACGUUAAAUCACGGUAUUAAACGUUUAAAAAAUACACUGACCAAUCAGAAAAUUGGAAUCAAGACUUCCAUUAAUGAUUGAUUCGUAAGAGGUUAACGAUAGAAAACUAUCAUCAUUUUUCAGGGAUGAACUGGUCACUACGGAGCUGCCUAUGAUGGAAAGCUUGUAUUUGUGACUCGUCGCUCUAUACUUUCCGGUUGCUGGGGUUAAAGCGAAAUUC
rnacentral:lncRNA from 1 species